UACGUAGGGGGCAAGCGUUGUCCGGAAUCAUUGGGCGUAAAGAGCGCGUAGGCGGUCCGGUAAGUCCGCUCUGAAAGUCCGGGGCUCAACCUCGGGAGGCGGGCGGAUACUGUCGGGCUAGAGUCCGGAAGAGGCGAGUGGAAUUCCUGGUGUAGCGGUGAAAUGCGCAGAUAUCAGGAGGAACACCAAUGGCGAAGGCAGCUCGCUGGGACGGUACUGACGCUGAGGCGCGAAAGCGUGGGGAGCAAACAGG
rnacentral:rRNA from 1 species